rnacentral:rRNA from 1 species
UGAGGAAUAUUGGUCAAUGGGUGCAAGCCUGAACCAGCCAUCCGCGUGAAGGACGACUGCCCUAUGGGUUGUAAACUUCUUUUGUAUAGGGAUAAACCUACCCUCGUGAGGGUAGCUGAAGGUACUAUACGAAUAAGCACCGGCUAACUCCGUGCCAGCAGCCGCGGUAAUACGGAGGGUGCAAGCGUUAUCCGGAUUUAUUGGGUUUAAAGGGUCCGUAGGCGGACUUAUAAGUCAGUGGUGAAAGCCUGUCGCUUAACGAUAGAACUGCCAUUGAUACUGUAAGUCUUGAGUAUAUUUGAGGUAGCUGGAAUAAGUAGUGUAGCGGUGAAAUGCAUAGAUAUUACUUAGACACCAAUUGCGAAGGCA